rnacentral:rRNA from 1 species
AGCGAACGCUGGCGGCAGGCCUAACACAUGCAAGUCGAACGAAGCCUUCGGGCUUAGUGGCGGACGGGUGAGUAACACGUGGGAACGUACCUUUUGGUUCGGAAUAACGCAGAGAAAUUUGCGCUAAUACCGAAUGAGCCCUUCGGGGGAAAGAUUUAUCGCCGAAAGAUCGGCCCGCGUUGGAUUAGGUAGUUGGUGUGGUAAAGGCGCACCAAGCCUACGAUCCAUAGCUGGUCUGAGGGGAUGAUCAGCCACACUGGGACUGAGACACGGCCCAGACUCCUACGGGAGGCAGCAGUGGGGAAUCUUGCGCAAUGGGCGAAAGCCUGACGCAGCCAUGCCGCGUGAAUGAUGAAGGUCUUAGGAUUGUAAAAUUCUUUUACCAGGGACGAUAAUGACGGUACCUGGAGAAAAAGCCCCGGCUAACUUCGUGCCAGCCGCCGCCGUAA